CUGAGUACUACACUCUCUACCCUUUGUGAACUAUUAUACCUGUUGCUUCGGGCGGCGCCCCGCAAGGGUGCCCGCCGGUUCUCAUCAGAAAUCUCUGUUUUCGAACCCCGACGAUACUUCUGAGUGUUCUUAGCGAACUGUCA
rnacentral:misc_RNA from 1 species